rnacentral:misc_RNA from 1 species
AACGCACCUUGCGCCCCUUGGCAUUCCGAGGGGCACACCCGUUUGAGUGUCGUGAAAUUCUCAAAAACCUUUCUUUGGAAAGGAUUUUGGACUUGGAGGCCUUUUGCUGGUUUCACCUUGAAGCGAGCUCCUCCCAAAUGGAUUAGUGGGGUCUGCUUUGCUGAUCCUUGACGUGAUAAGAUGAUUUCUACGUCUUGGGUUUGGCACUGUCACUUGGGCACCCGCUUCUAACCGUCUCGUAGACAACGAUGGCGUUCCGGUCACCACCGUUUCAUCGGUGGGAGGCUUGACCCACCAAAAAACCUUGACCUCAAAUCGGGUGAGACUACCCGCUGAACUUAA